AGGUGCUUGAAGAACCCCAACUUGGUGUUUUGAGGAAGUCAUGGGCAGAAACUUGAUUCAUAGACAAAAGCAGACGAGGUUUGAAGCUUGUCAAGCUAGGCUUGUAAAGUUGUGGAGGGCUAAAGGUGUGCCAAAAACUGAAUGAGAAGCAAACUACGGCACUUCCCAUGGUGACAAGUAAGAUGUCAAAGAUGGCUGUCUAUCAAAAUGCAUGACAGAUUAGUUUAUUAUCUGUUAUGCUUUGAGUGGGAAGGCUUGGGAUCUUAUGCAUCAGCACUGGGUAUCGUUCUUAAGAUAUCUUGUGAUUGACUUUUUAAACCCUUAUUUGGCUGAAGCUGCAAGUUAAUCCGAUCCAGUUUUUUCUUGAGUAGAUCCAAAUUGAAAAACCCAUAGAAGUAUUUGCACCAAAAGAUGUGGAGUAUUUGGUGGACUAUUGAAGUACAGUGACAACGAACCCAUAUUUCCUAAAAAGCUUGCCAAUCUGUUUCUUGGAGCUAUAUAUGAGUAUUCAUGUAGCCAAUGGAGCCGCCAAGUGUUGCUAUCAAGUAUUUGUUUGGGAAGAUUGAAGAGGUGCUUGGGCUAGGCUGCCAUUGCUUGCCUUGGUUUUUUCCCAGUCAUCCUGUUGGAUUUCUACCAUUGAGACAUCACAUGUCAAGUUUGAAAACCAAUACAAAGUUUCCUAUUUUUCUUCAUCAGUUUACCUAGUCUAUAUCAUCAUUUAACAACAAUGGUUAUAGUGAUAAACGUUCUGCCACUACUUUUCUUUUGCAUCGAUGUGGUUUAUAAUG